rnacentral:rRNA from 1 species
UGGGGAAUAUUGCGCAAUGGGGGCAACCCUGACGCAGCAAUACCGCGUGAGUGAAGAAGGUUUUCGGAUCGUAAAGCUCUGUUAUUGGGGAAGAAGAAGUGACGGUACCCAAUGAGGAAGUCCCGGCUAACUACGUGCCAGCAGCCGCGGUAAUACGUAGGGGACAAGCGUUGUCCGGAAUGACUGGGCGUAAAGGGCGCGUAGGCGGAGUGUUAAGUCAGAGGUGAAAGGUAACGGCUCAACCGUUGACAUGCAUUUGAAACUGGCACCCUUGAGUACUGGAGAGGCAAGUGGAAUUCCUAGUGUAGCGGUGAAAUGCGUAGAUAUUAGGAGGAACACCGGUGGCGAAGGCGGCUUGCUGGACAGAUACUGACGCUGAGGUGCGAAAGCGUGGGGAGCGAACA